AUGCAGCGAUUCCUGCAGCUACGACUGCUGCUGCCACUGCUGCUGGGGCCCAUGCCCGAGCAGAGGUAUCUGGAAGAGCGGAUCUUCUCCACAGUGAAGAUCCAGUGUUACCAGAACGACAGUGACCCCAGUUACCUGUACUGGUACCAGCAGCUGGCGGGGCAGGGUCUGGGGCUCAUGGCCUCAGCCAACUUGGACUCGAAAGCUUCCUACCAGAAGGGGUGCGAAGAGACCAAGUUACCCAUCCAACGUCCAGAACUGAGGUCUUCCUCUCUGGAGGUGACAAAACUGGAGCCGAGGGACAGCGGCCUCUACUUCUGCACUACCAGUGACACAGUGCCAGAUGAGGGCUAG